rnacentral:rRNA from 1 species
UACGGAGGGUGCAAGCGUUAUCCGGAUUCACUGGGUUUAAAGGGUGCGUAGGUGGGUUGGUAAGUCAGUGGUGAAAUCUCCGGGCUUAACUCGGAACGGUCAACUGAUACUGCUCGACUAGAGUGCGGAAGGGGCAACUGGAAUUCUUGGUGUAGCAGUGAAAUGCGUAGAUAUCAGGAGGAACACCGAUGGCGAAGGCAGGUCUCUGGGCUGACACUGACGCUCAUGCACGAAAGCGUGGGGAGCAAACAGG